AUUGAACGCUGGCGGCAGGCUUAACACAUGCAAGUCGAGCGGGGUGAUGGUGCUUGCACUAUCACUUAGCGGCGGACGGGUGAGUAAUGCUUAGGAAUCUGCCUAUUAGUGGGGGACAACAUCUCGAACGGGAUGCUAAUACCGCAUACGUCCUACGGGAGAAAGCAGGGGAUCACUUGUGACCUUGCGCUAAUAGAUGAGCCCAAGUCGGAUUAGCUAGUUGGUGGGGUAAAGGCCUACCAAGGCGACGAUCUGUAGCGGGUCUGAGAGGAUGAUCCGCCACACUGGGACUGAGACACGGCCCAGACUCCUACGGGAGGCAGCAGUGGGGAAUAUUGGACAAUGGGGGGAACCCUGAUCUAGCCAUGCCGCGUGUGUGAAGAAGGCCUUAUGGUUGUAAAGCACUUUAAGCGAGGAGGAGGCUCUUUUGGUUAAUACCCAAGAUGAGUGGACGUUACUCGCAGAAUAAGCACCGGCUAACUCUGUGCCAGCCGCCGCGGUAA
rnacentral:rRNA from 1 species